rnacentral:rRNA from 1 species
UACGGGGGGAGCAAGCGUUGUUCGGAUUUACUGGGCGUAAAGGGCGCGUAGGCGGUCGUGACAAGUCACUUGUGAAAUCUCCGGGCUUAACUCGGAAAGGUCAAGUGAUACUGUCGGACUAGAGUACAGAAGGGGCAACUGGAAUUCUCGGUGUAGCGGUGAAAUGCGUAGAUAUCGAGAGGAACACCUGCGGCGAAGGCGGGUUGCUGGGCUGAUACUGACGCUGAGGCGCGAAAGCCAGGGGAGCGAACGGG